UUCUCAUUUUCCUUCUCCCAAAACGGCCCCAAACCAAAUCUCAGCUGGAGAUAGAGAGAGAGAGAGAGCGAGCUGUUGGCAUCUUGCCUUGAAAAUGUAGAGAGGGAGAGAGUCGAAGGACAUCGAAGAGAGGCAAUUGGGAGCAGGCGAGGGGAGGACUGAGCUGGGAGACUCGGAGAGAACGAGAAGAAGAGGAAGGAGGAGGAGGAGGAGGAGCCGAAAUGCCGCUGACGAGGUACCAGAUAAGGAACGAGUACGGCCUGGCCGAUCCGGAGCUGUACAGAGCCGCCGAUAAGGAUGAUCCGGAGGCUCUCCUGGAAGGCGUCGCCAUGGCUGGCCUCGUCGGCGUCCUCCGCCAGCUCGGCGACCUAGCUGAGUUUGCUGCUGAGAUAUUCCACGACUUGCAUGAAGAAGUUUUGGCCACAGCUUCGAGAGGCCAUAGUCUCAUGGUACGUGUUCAACAGCUGGAGUUAGAAUUCCCUCUAAUUGAGAAGGCGUUGCUGUCCCAAACAAAUCAUUCGUCCUUUCUUUCAAAUCAAGGUGCUGAUUGGCAUCCUAAUAUGCGUUCAAAGCAGAAUUUGAUUGCUCAAGGAGACUUGCCUCGCUUUAUCAUGGACUCUUAUGAAGAAUGUAGAGGCCCGCCACGGCUAUUUCUUCUGGACAAGUUUGAUGUUGCUGGUGCUGGGGCUUGUUUAAAGCGUUACACUGAUCCGUCAUUCUUUAGAGUGGAAGCUUCAGUAGACGAAGUUCAGAGGGAAAGAAAAGUACGCAGGGUAAAGAAGAAAGGAAUGCGUGGUAGAAAUGGAGAAACUCCAGAGAUUUUACCAGCAUCACAUGCCAAACUGCAGCAGUUGUUUAUGGAGGAGAGCAUUGUGAAUAGUUAUAGUAACCCUUCUCGUCUUGUGAAAUUGAAGAAAAGGCAGUUUAACGAACCUCCAUUUUGUUCAAGAAAUGGGAAAAGUUAUAUGGAGAAGUUUGUGGAAACUCCUUCACCUGAGAGUAAAACAGUGUGUGAAGUUUCCAUUGCACCGCCAUCCUUAAGAUGGACAACAGAUUGUGAAUCAGGUAAUGAAGUAGUUGAUGUCAAUAUGGUAAGUCCAAAGAAAAAUCGAUCAAAAGAGAAGGGGAGCACUUUAACAUCCAUUGCAGAAGCACUCUUGCCGGAAACAUCUCUUGAACGUUUGGAUGGGAUGGUUGUUAAUGGGAAGGAAAUGGAGGAACCUGAGCUACCUCAUGAUAGUGAGACAUAUGGAGGUCCUACUCUUUAUGAGGCUGAGAAAAAGGAGGUGGUUGAUGCAGAAUUCAAGAUGGGUCGUGGCAUGGAUGUUUGUCAUUCUGAUGAGAUAACCAGUGAGGUAGAGAAUUACGUGGACGCCCUUGCUACCAUGGAAUCUGAAGCUGAAACGGACAAUGAAUACAGAGCUAAAAAUGACAAGGGUUUCUUGAAUGAUGAAAAAACUGAGACAGAUUCUGACACGAAUGAAGAGCACCUGGAACUUCAAGCUCAAUAUUCAGACUCUCAAUCUCUAGGCUAUUCUGCCUCGGAAGAUGGAAACACUUCUCUCAUUAAAGGAAGUUCUAGCUUUACCUACUCUGAUGGUCAAAGCAACUUGGUUGAUAAUAUAGAAUCUGAUGGUGAGGGAAUUGCUAGAGCAUUCCUGUCUGCUGAAACUUCUUCCUCUCAUCAUCUGAACAUGACCUAUAACGAGCUUCCUGCACAUGGGGGAACUGGAGAAAUAGAGGACUCCAAUGAGUCUGUUGUGCCCAAACAUAUGGGCAUAGAGGAUGAUGAGAUCAGUGAUAUUCGGGAAGCAUCUACAGAUUUAUGUUCUAUUGAUAUGAAAGCAAAGCUUUCACCUUCAGGUCAUGGACAAAGUCUACAAGUUGAAUCAGAGGCAGAAGGGUCUGACCAAAAAGAGUCGGAGGUAGACAGUGUCAGAGCUGUUUUUCCUGAUUCUGCUUCUCAGAAGCAGGAUGAUGCUUUCUCCCCCAUUGCUUCUGAAAGCAAUCCAAUCUUUCAGUCAGUAGAUGCAGAUCCAAAAGUCUCAUCUGAUGUUUUAGCGCAUUCUUUGACCGUUCUUGAGUUGGCCCGUGAACAUGAUAGUAACAUUACCUAUAAGCAUGAAGAAUUCGUAUUCAAUCACACUGGAACUGUGACAAGUGGAAAGAUCAUUCCCUGGCAUUCAAAAAUGACGUUGCCAGAAGAUCAGUUCCAGUUUUUAGUAGUGCCAGAAGCGUCUGGAUAUUCAGAUCUUCAAUCACUGCCUGAUAGUUCUGUCACUUCUCCUGCAUGUAAUCCGGAUAUGGCAAACCUGCAUGGUACAAAUUCUGAAGUUCAUCCUUUGGCAGCUGGUUUGAUGAACUUGGAUAACCCAAUUGUCAUAGAAGAUAAGCAGCAGACUCAUAUAAUUAAACAGCAAUCUUUUGAUUUCACGUAUGAUGCUCCAUUACAUGAACAAAAUGCACCAGAAGUAGAUCUUCAGCCUUUACAGGAAAACAUCGAGUUUGGAAAGAAUGAACCCCCUCUGGAUUUUGAUGAUGUUGUCAAAGUUUCCUGGACAGUAGAAGCAGUGGAAGGAGAUGCCAGUCCUCUUAACUUCCCAUGCAACAACUCAAUCCUUAGUGAGAAUGCAAACAUGCAUGAUGCGGGGACUGAACAAGCUCCAAUAGAACAGUUGCUACUCCCUACUCCUGUUAUUGCCACUACUGAUGAUAAUGGCAGCACUAGUGUAGAUCCAGCUGCAGAUAUAGCGGGGGCCUCUGCAGAUUCACAGGAACCACCAGCUGGCAUGGAUCAUUUGCCUCAGAAAGAGUGCGAGUCAUAUGAGGAAGGUUUUCCAGAGUGUAAUAAAGAGUUGAACUUGCUUGAGGAAGCAAGAGAUGCAAAAGUUGCUUAUGCCGAAAAUAACUCUAUCCCGAGUGAUCUGAUCUCUCAUCCGGAAUCUGAAGUGGAAACUGAGAUGCUGGGCUUGUCUUUUAUGGAGAAAUCACUGAGCAGACAUUCGUCAGAUGAUGCGACAAUUGGUUCAGGAUAUGAAGAACUAGGCAGUGAGGAGCCUGGACCAAAACCUUCCUCCCAAGGUCAUCUUCCAUGGAGCAGUGAAGAUAUCUUGUUGUCUUUGCAUGUUUAUCACCAAGUAGACCAAGGAGAAACUCCAGAGCACUUGUCGGAUGUGCCACCACAUGAGCUUGAUUUAAAUUUAUCAUGCGAAGAUGAAGUUAGUCCUUGGACAGUUAAUCCUGAAUCUGAAAAACUGCAAUCAGCAGAUCUCGUGGUUCAGGAGAACAUUCUUUCUAGCAGACCAGGAUCUCCUUUAGAAUGUCCCUUGGAGUUUCAAAAUGACAGAUCUGAUGCGGAGUGUCCGCAGGGUGAUGAAACAAGAAGCCGAUCAUCAACUCUUCUGUCUGGACAAUUACAAUCUAAGGAUAGUACAGGCAAAGAAAAAUACUCAGCUUUUGAAUCGUGUCCAGAAGAUCAACCAACCCAGCAUUCUAUCUCAGAAUCCUUACAAAAAUCAGCUAGCCAGGAAGUUGACGGUUUUAGUCCUGUAGGGCCUUCAUUACACACCAAUAUUGCUAUAUCUCCACAGUCCUCUGUUCUGGCUGAAAUUAAUCAAGAGGAUGUUCCCAAUUUGGCACCCUUACCUCCAUCGGAAUGGACGAUAGGAAAGGAUCAUCACGUUUUUCUUGCUUCACAGAGCGAAGUAAUUCAGGAUGGGCAGGACUCGUUCCAAUUGUUACAACGGUUACCAGCUGAAGAAAAUCCACAACUUCAGUUGUCAGCAUCAGAGGGAGGAUUGAUAUGGCCUCUUCACACAUUUCUGAACGUGGAAAAUGAGAAGUUACACACCGAAGAACGAGAGGAUAAAUCGGCACUGCCUGGUCCAUUAUCUUCUGUAACUCAAGUCCCAGAUGGCAAUUCAGUUAUUCAGGAUGACAGUUCUGUGAUGGAGGCUACAGAAGUACCGGACCACUUCUUGACAAGUGUGUCUGAGCAUGCUUUCCUUGAUUGGGGAAGAGGAGUGGUGCAAUCCAAUUCAAACAUUCUCCCACCUCAUCCAGUUGUUGAAGACAGACCCUCUAGAAAUGACCCUGUAUCUUCGCAGGGAGAAGUUACUCAAUAUAUUGAGUCAACUUCGUCUGUUUCAAAGGAUAAGGUUCAGCAGUAUUUUCAUGAGAAAUCGGAAGCACAGCAUGAGAGUUCUCAAAAUGCAUCUGGGCCAUCAGAUAUGAAGCAAGAUGAGCAUCUCCAACAUGAUCUGCUUAAUUUAGAUGGAGAAAGAGCAUUUGAGGCAACUUCAGCUCUACCAGAAAAUGAAGUUGUACAACCAAAUGAAAAGUUGACGAGUAAUAUUCCUCGCCCACCAAAACGUCUCAUAGAGGCUGUUGCUGCUCAUGAUAGAAGCAUGUUGAGGAAGGUUACUGAAAGAAUAAAGCCUCCAAUUGAACCAAGAGCAAAUGAAAGAGAUUCGUUGCUAGAGCAAAUACGGACAAAGUCAUUCAACUUGAAACCUGCUGUUGUCACCCGGCCAAGUAUUCAGGGUCCUAAAACUAACUUGAAGGUUAAUGCUAUUUUGGAGAAGGCUAAUGCCAUUCGCCAGGCAUUUGCUGGAAGUGAUGAAGAUGAUGAUGAAGAUAAUUGGAGUGACUCCUGAGAAUGUUCCGUUCCUCGUGCCAAAUUUUACUGCCGCAUCUUCGUCGAAGAGGAAAGUUGCCUGUUGUGCCCUGAUUUCUUUGUUCCUUUAGGCAUGUAUAAAUAUUCCUCCCCACACCCACACCCAAACCCACACCCAAAGGAAGAAAAUGUUAAGGGUUUCCCGUCCUCCUCUCCUUCCUCACACCAGAAAGUGAAGCAAGAGAAUAGACUUCUCAAAACCGGCAUGCUCUUUAUUCGUCAUUUUUCUUCUUUGGCCUCUGAAGAAUGCAAAGCUUACAUACUUUUUCCGCACGUGGAACCAAUGCGCUGAUGUGCUUUGGCAAAGCAUGUUGUAUGCCGCUCAUUAUCUUUUGCGCUACCGUUCUUUGUUUUCUACUGUUAUUUUGUUAUAUGGACCUUUUGGGAAUUAUUUUCCCUCGUUGCAUGACCUUAGUCUUUUGAAUUAAUGUAUUUUCCCUCUAGAACA